GUGUUGCGGUUAAAAAGCUCGUAGUUGGAUUUCUGUUGAGGAUGACCGGUCCGCUCUUUGAGCGCGUAUCUGGUUCAGCCUUGGCAUCCUCUUGGGGAACGCUACUGUGCUUGAUUGCAUGGGGCGGUAUUCAAGACUUUUACUUUGAGGAAAUUAGAGUGUUCACUGCAAGCGUUAGCAAUUGAAUACAUUAGCAUGGAAUAAUAAUAUAGGACCUUGGUACUAUUUUGUUGGUUUCUAGAACUAAGGUAAUGAUUAAUAGGGACAAUUGGGGGCAUUCGUAUUAACGCGUCAGAGGUGGAAUUCUUAGAUUGCGUUACGACGAACUACUGCGAAAGCAUUUGCCAAGGAUGUUUUCAUUGAUCAAGAACGAAAGUAUGGGGAUCGAAGACGCUUAGAUAUCGUCGUAGUCUAUACCAUAAACUAUGCCAACUAGAGAUUGGAGGUCGUUCUCUUUUAUGACUCCUUCAGCACCUUAUGAGAAAUCAAAAGUCUUUGGGUUCCGGGGGGAGUAUGGUCGCCAA
rnacentral:rRNA from 1 species